rnacentral:rRNA from 1 species
GACGAACGCUGGCGGCGUGCCUAACACAUGCAAGUCGAACGGAGAUAUGAUUUCGGUUGUAUCUUAGUGGCGAACGGGUGAGCAACGCGUGAGCAACCUGACUCUUAGAGGGGGAUAACACUCGGAAACGGGUGCUAAUACCGCAUAAGACCACGACAUGGCAUCAUGACGAGGUCAAAGGAGCAAUCCGCUGAGGGAGGGGCUCGCGUCCCAUUAGAUAGAUGGCGGGGUAACGGCCCACCAUGUCAACGAUGGGUAGCCGAGCUGAGAGGCUGAUCGGCCACACUGGAACUGAGACACGGUCCAGACUCCUACGGGAGGCAGCAGUGGGGAAUAUUGGGCAAUGGGCGCAAGCCUGACCCAGCAACGCCGCGUGAGGGAAGAAGGCUUUCGGGUUGUAAACCUCUGUCCUUGGUGACGAAACAAAUGACGGUAGCCAAGGAGGAAGCCCCGGCUAACUACGUGCCAGCAGCCGCCGUAACAC